rnacentral:rRNA from 1 species
GAUGAACGCUAGCUACAGGCUUAACACAUGCAAGUCGAGGGGUAACGAGAGGAAAGCUUGCUUUCCUUGUCGACGACCGGCGCACGGGUGAGUAACGCGUAUCCAACCUGCCCCCAACUAGGGAAUAACCAUGCGAAAGUAAGACUAAUACCCUAUAAUUUCCUCAGAUGACAUCUGACGAGGAAUAAAGAUUUAUCGGUUGUGGAUGGGGAUGCGUCUGAUUAGCUUGUUGGCGGGGUAACGGCCCACCAAGACAACGAUCAGUAGGGGUUCUGAGAGGAAGGUCCCCCACAUUGGAACUGAGACACGGUCCAAACUCCUACGGGAGGCAGCAGUGAGGAAUAUUGGUCAAUGGGCGGAAGCCUGAACCAGCCAAGUAGCGUGCAGGAUGACGGCCCUAUGGGUUGUAAACUGCUUUUAUACAGGAAUAAAGUUAGCCACGUGUGGUUAUUUGUAGGUACUGUAUGAAUAAGGACCGGCUAAUUCCGUGCCAGCCGCCGCCGUAA